GACGUAGGGUGCGAGCGUUGUCCGGAUUUAUUGGGCGUAAAGAGCUCGUAGGCGGCUUGUCGCGUCGACCGUGAAAACUUGGGGCUCAACCCCAAGCCUGCGGUCGAUACGGGCAGGCUCGAGUUCGGUAGGGGAGACUGGAAUUCCCGGUGUAGAGGUGAAAUUCGUAGAUAUCGGGAGGAACACCAGUGGCGAAGGCGGCGAUCUGGGCAGAUACUGACGCUGAGGUGCGAAAGCGUGGGGAGCAAACAGG
rnacentral:rRNA from 1 species